CGUCUUUCAAAGGUAUUGUUCUAAAUUAAAAAUUUCUCAUAAUUCUUUAAUUUAAUUUAAAAAAAUUUAUUUUUCUAGUUUUAAAUAUUUAAAUUAGUUUACAAUUACUUAGUACAAAAAUUUACUAACUUAAACUUAAUAAAUGUUUUUCAGUUCUGGUCACAUUUUCUAUUCAUUUUACAAGUAGUGAUUUUGCCACUACUAUUUCAAUGGUUAGGAUCGUUUUUCUGCGAUGAAAAUGUACAACCAAAUUUAUUUAUUAAAGCUCUUUAUGCAUGUCUUCACAGGCCAAUUUUUGCCUUUAGUGUCUGCUCUAUUCUUCUUUUAAUUACAAUUGGCCAAGGCUUGGAUUUUUAUUACAAAUUAUUAACACCCAGAUGGAUUCAACCAUUCUCCAAACUUUCUUAUGCAACAUUUCUCUGUCAUUUUGCAAUUCAAUCUUAUGAAUUUGGAACUGCAAGAACAGUAUACACUUAUUCGUCUUAUAAUUCGAUUAAACAUUUUAUUGGAGAUAUUAUCUACAUAUCAUUUGUAGCAUUACUAUUGGUGAUAAUAAUAGAAAAACCAUUCACGAAUCUCGAAAAAUUACUUUUAGAAGGCAAGAAAGAAAUCAGGUC